GCACUUGUUAUUGAAGUAUACGUUUGAUAAGGGGGGCCUCUGGCGGUCAGCUUAGGCAAAGCUGCUGGAGGCCGCAGAGAAAUGGCUCUUCCAACUGUUUAACAAAAACACAGGUCUCUGCUAAGUCGAAAGACGAAGUAUAGGGGCUGACGCCUGCCCAGUGCUGGAAGGUUAAGGGGAGAGGUUAGGGGUAACCCGAAGCUUUGAGCCGAAGCCCCAGUGAACGGCGGCCGUAACAAUAACGGUCCUAAGGUAGCGAAAUUCCUUGUCGGGUAAGAUCCGACCCGCACGAAUGGCGUAAUGAGAGGAGCACUGUCUCAACGAGGGACUCGGCGAACAUUGAAGGACGUGUGAAGAUACACGUGACCCGCAGCGGGACAAAAAGACCCCGUGAAGCUUUACUACAACUUGCCAUUGAGUUAGGGCUAAACCUGUGUAGCAUAGGUGGGAGGCUUUGAAGCUGGGACGCCAGUCUCGGUGGAGCCACCGUUGAAAUACCACCCUGGUUUAUUCUUGGCUCUAACCUGUCGCCGUUAUCCGGCAUGGGAACAGUGGCUGGUGGGUAGUUUGACUGGGGCGGUCGCCUCCGAAAGCGUAGCAGAGGCGCCCAAAGGUUCCCUCGGGCUGAAUGGAAACCAGCCGUUGAGUGUAAAGGCACAAGGGAGCUUGACUGCAAGACCUACAAGUCGCGCAGGGACGAAAGUCGGGCUUAGUGAUCCCACGGUUCAGAGUGGAAUGGCCGUGGCUUACCGGAUAAAAGCUACUCCGGGGAUAACAGGGUAGUCUGGUCCAAGAGUUCAUAUCGACGACCAGGUUCGCCACCUCGAUGUCGGCUCAUCACAUCCUGGGGCUGGAUAGGGUCCCAAGGGUUGGGCUGUUCGCCCAUUAAAGUGGUACGUGAGCUGGGUUCAGACCGCCGUGAGGCAGGUCGGUCUCUAUCCGCUGUGGGCGUAAGGGAUUUGAGAGAAGCUGCCCCUAGUACGAGAGGACCGGGGUGGACGGACCUCUAGUGUGCCAGUUGUUCUGCCAAGAGCAUUGCUGGGUAGCUACGUCCGGCGGAGAUAACCGCUGAAAGCAUCUAAGUGGGAAACUCGUCUCAAGAUUAGAUCCCUCCUCUUUAUGAGAUAAGACCGCUGGAAGACUACCAGCUUGAUAGGCGGCAGGUGUAAGCAUAGUAAUAUGUUCAGCUUAGCCGUACUAAUGGUCGAAAGGCUUACAU
rnacentral:rRNA from 1 species